AACGAACGCUGGCGGCAGGCCUAAAACAUGCAAGUCGAACGAUCUAGCAAUAGAUAGUGGCGCACGGGUGAGUAACACGUGGGAAUAUCCCUUUCACUACGGAACAACGUCGGGAAACUGACGCUAAUACCGUAUAAUGUCUCCGGACCAAAGAUUUAUCGGUGAAAGAUUAGCCCGCGUCUGAUUAGCUAGUUGGUGAGGUAACGGCUCACCAAGGCAACGAUCAGUAGCUGGUCUGAGAGGAUGAUCAGCCACACUGGAACUGAGACACGGUCCAGACUCCUACGGGAGGCAGCAGUUAGGAAUAUUGGACAAUGGGGGCAACCCUGAUCCAGCCAUGCCGCGUGUGUGACGAAGGCCUUAGGGUUGUAAAGCACUUUCGUCUACGAAGAUAAUGACAGUAGUAGAAGAAGAAGCUCCGGCUAAAUUCGUGCCAGCCGCCGCAGUAA
rnacentral:rRNA from 1 species